rnacentral:rRNA from 1 species
UACAGAGGGGGCAAGCGUUAUUCGGAAUUAUUGGGCGUAAAGGGCGCGUAGGCGGCUUUGCAAGUGGCGGGUGAAAUCCCUCGGCUUAACCGAGGAACUGCCUGCCAGACUGUGAGGCUUGAGACCGGGAGAGGUGAGUGGAAUUCCCAGUGUAGCGGUGAAAUGCGUAGAUAUUAGGAAGAACACCGGUGGCGAAGGCGGCCCACUGGAUCGGUACUGACGCUGAGGUGCGAAAGCGUGGGGAGCAAACAGG